rnacentral:lncRNA from 1 species
ACCUCUUCCAGAUGUAUAUAAACUUGAGAAUCAAUAGAAAUCAGGACUGUCCAUUACUUUCAUUCAAUCUCGUUUUACUUUAACAUGUUAUCACGCACUUUGCUCUCCAUUAGAGAGAUAGGUCACGACAAAAAAAGAACAGUGAAGAAUAGGGGCAUCAGUCCUCGUCGAUCGAGUAAAUAGAAGACGCGAUCCGAGCCUCCCCGCGCCACCGAUUCCUAGCGCCGCCUCGCCCCCGCCGUCGUCGCGUCUCCGGCAAGACAGGACCCCGCCAUGCCGAUCUCAUCGUCCCUCUCCGCGCGCCUCGCCCCGGUCCCGCACCCAUGCCGCGCCCGCACGGUAGGGCCCUUACGUCUGCCCCAGGCCGAGGCAGACACAGCCGCGACUCACAUCCUCACGACGUGGUCGCGCUCGCGCCAGCGGCCCUCCCUGCAGCGGCCGCCCCGCAACGCGCUCGCCACGAGCUCGUCCGGCCCGUGCGAGCCUGAGAGACACGCUCGCGUCGGCUCCGCCUGCGCCAAGCCUUCACGGCGGCGGCGGCGGUAGCCCGAGUUCCGCUCCCGGUCCCGACUCCACGGCUGCGUCGUCUUGCCGGAAUCGGCAUCAACGGACGACCGGUGCUAACCUUCCAUGGCGGCCGUACCGAAUGAACGCUGCCGCGGUCCUGCUAUCCGCGACCUCUCUGGCGCCCAGCCCGGAGACUCCCUCUUCGACACAUCGCCGUUGAUGCGGCUGAUAUGCUAUGGCGGCUGCCGCCUUUCGCGGGAUUGGGAGACGAUGCUGGCUGGGAUCGCUCCUGGUCGCUCGUCCCUUAUCCGUUCGGCUGACCAGAGCGGUCCUAGAUGGGCUGCCCGUGUGGCUCAUUUGCAUGCGGUGGAGCCAUCAACACCUCCUGCUUAUUCACAAAAUUGUUCUCAUAUUCGAGCUUUUUAGCACAGUUGAUUCCAUUCCUUUUUCAUUCGUCCUCCGAGAUGGCAAUCCCUUACAUACAAAGGUCCUAGACGCAAACGAAUCAAUUUGAUUCUUAUACAUGC